UAGUGUAGUCUUCAAGGGGCAGACUGAAAUUAAGUACCAUUCUCUCAAAAGCUACAGGCAUUUUCAGAGGAAAACAAUUCCUUCUAGAGAUCUGAAGUGAGCUGCUUUGAGUAUUGAUGAUGCUGAGAACUGCAUAAUAUGCUUACCUUUGGAUGAAGUUCUAUGCUGUAAGUGACAGCUCAUCUUGGUUGUCUCUGUUAAGCAAUGUCCAACAGAAUGAUGAAAACCUACCUGCAUAAUACUGAGAUGAUAUGGAAGGAUCCAGAGGACCCUCCCGCCUAGACUCUCCAGGGUUCCUCCCUGCCCUGAUCCCAAGGCUCCAAUUCAAACUAGUGCCAUUACCACUACUUCAGCAACGCCCUAGUGCCAUUCAGCAAUGCCAGUCUCCAGACUCCACAUCUGUCUCUUCCUGAAGGGUCAGGACCUGCCCUGGCUCAUUGCCCUCUAAAAAUGUCAGGGCUGUUGAUGGUCUUGCUGCUGGCCCUUAGCUCUGUCCCCUGCGCUCAGACCGGCAGGAUGGUGGCUGUCUGUGUGGGCAUCACCAGCCCUAGUACCCUCCCAGCACCCAGCUCCCCAGACCAAAGUGGCCGCUGGCUCUCACUGCUUCCUGAGGAUUAAUUUUUUU